rnacentral:rRNA from 1 species
UACAGAGGUCUCAAGCGUUGUUCGGAUUCAUUGGGCGUAAAGGGUGCGUAGGCGGCGCGGUAAGUCGGGUGUGAAAUCUCGGAGCUUAACUCCGAAACUGCAUUCGAUACUGCCGUGCUUGAGGACUGGAGAGGAGACUGGAAUUUACGGUGUAGCGGUGAAAUGCGUAGAUAUCGUAAGGAAGACCAGUGGCGAAGGCGGGGUCUCUGGACAGUUCCUGACGCUGAGGCACGA